AUUAUUGAUUUUAAACUGAGUGGGGUUGUUGCUGGCCUAUAUGGGCAUGUGCACACCUCAUUUUAUCCAACCUUUACCCCACUGUGCACUUUCUCAUGGGCUGAAUAUUUGCAAAGUUGUUCUUAAUUGAGCAAUGGAAGCGAUGUUUGUUCCAUGUGUUUUUAAUACAAUACACAUAUUUGUUAUAGAAUGUAAACAUGCAGUGCAUUCAAUGCAUAUAAUAUAACUUUCAGCAACGGAUCUCUUGGCUCUCGCAUCGAUGAAGAACGCAGCGAAAUGCGAUAAGUAAUGUGAAUUGCAGAAUUCAGUGAAUCAUCGAAUCUUUGAACGCACCUUGCGCUCCUUGGUAUUCCGAGGAGCAUGCCUGUUUGAGUGUCAUGGUAAAUUCUCACUUCAUUUAUGUUUUGCAUAUUUUGAAGUGGAUGUGGAGGAUUGUGCUGGCAUCUUGCAAAUGGUUGUUCUGUUUUCAAGAAAAUCUGGCUCCUCUGAAAUGCAUUAGCUUGAAUGUUGACCAAGCAUAAUAUCUCAGCGUGAUAAUUUGUCUGCGUUGUGAAUGUUUUGGUCUAUAUGUUAAUAUAGCAUUUAAGCUUCCAAUGGUCUUUUUAUUAAGACAGCAAUCAUAACUGAUAAUAGUUUAUGAACAUUUGACCU
rnacentral:rRNA from 1 species